GCCACGACCGCCAUUGGAGUUCCAGCCACCACCGGAGAAAAGAAAAUGCCCUCCUUAUACAGGCAUGGCUCAAUUUGUGAGUCGCUUUGCUGAACCUGGAGAACCAGAGUAUGCUCCACCUAAGCCGGAAGUUGAAACACCUGCACAAAAAAGGGAGAGAAUUCAUAAAUCCAGACUGGAGAAA